rnacentral:lncRNA from 1 species
CCGCCGCAACCAUCUCCAUGCAAUCUUCACCUGCAAGGAACAAACACAAGAAAGGAAACAAAAGCAGAGAUUUGCAAAGUCAAAUCAAUAUGAACAAAUUUAUUUCUUUAUACUUUUCUCAUUAUGGCUAUAAGAUAGCCAUUGAUAUACUGUAAAUAAAAAAAGAUGAAUAAGAAAAGAUAGCAUCGUUUCACACAAAAAAC